AACUUUCGGCAACGGAUCACUUGGUUCUCGCGUCGAUGAAGAGCGUAGCAAACUGCGAAAAGUGGUGUGACUUGCAUAAAUCGCGAACCAUUGAAUUCUUUAACGCACACUGCACCCUCUGCUUCUGCAGAGGGUCUGCCUGGUUGAGUGUCGACAAGUCAGUCUCAGCCUCCGAAUGGGAGCUGGAUGUGGAUGUCCGCCGUCGAGUGAGAUGGCGCAGUCUUAAACAUUGACCAACGGGUGGGCACUGCCUGCCGUGUGCGCGUGACACCUCCGGGUGGCCUUGCACACAGCAGCCAUGUCCCCCCUUCCUUCUGAAACCGACCUCAGCUCAGGUAGGAGUACCCGCUGAACUUAAGCAUAUCAAUAAGUGGAGGCU
rnacentral:misc_RNA from 1 species